rnacentral:lncRNA from 1 species
UUGGAUUUAGAGUUUAAGGACUUAAUAUGAUCCAAUUGGAUUUGGAUUAUAUCAAGCCCAAGAAAUUGAGUAAUCAAGCCCAAUGAGUUAUAUAUUUAAGCUCAAGUCAAGGCCCAAUGUUAGGUUUAAUUAAGCCCGAUCCAAGAAACCGAACUGCUAAUAGAAUCGAUAGGUCACCGGAUGGGUAAAACCCAUGGGGAUGACCCACAAGACCAUGUGGG